UGGGGAAUAUUGGGCAAUGGAGGGAACUCUGACCCAGCAACGCCGCGUGAAGGAUGAAGGUUUUCGGAUUGUAAACUUCUGUCGCGAGGGACGAAGAAUGACGGUACCUCGUAAGAAAGCCCCGGCUAACUACGUGCCAGCAGCCGCGGUAAUACGUAGGGGGCGAGCGUUGUCCGGAAUGACUGGGCGUAAAGGGAGUGUAGGCGGCUUUUUAAGUUAUAUGUGAAAUCCCGCGGCUUAACCGCGGAACUGCAUAUAAAACUGGGGAGCUGGAGUGCAGUAGAGGUAAGUGGAAUUCCUAGUGUAGCGGUGGAAUGCGUAGAUAUUAGGAAGAACACCGGAGGCGAAGGCGGCUUACUGGACUGUAACUGACGCUGAGGCUCGAAAGCGUGGGGAGCAAACAGG
rnacentral:rRNA from 1 species